rnacentral:tRNA from 1 species
GGGGGUGUAGCUCAAUGGUUGAGUGCUUGCCUAGCAUGCAUGAAGUCCUGGGUCUAAUCCCAGCACUGCCC